GCGGACUACCUUCGUGUUUUCAUUUGUCCUAUUGUGAUCAUCCACUUUAAAUAAUCAACAUUAAAUCUGUAUCAUAGACAAUGAUCCUCUCUUCUGAUUAAGUUAACAUAAUAAGAAAAGAGGAAACAAUGCUGAACCUGAUGUUUAACAUUAAACAGUUAUAUUGAUUUAUUUUGGCAUAUAAAUUGGGUUGCUGCUUUCAGACCCUUUUAUUAUAUUUCCAACAUGGCUGCGAUGGCUCUUCAACAUUGUCAAGCUGCAGUUGCUAUUCCCCCUUUUUGUUAAUUAAAUAUUGU
rnacentral:misc_RNA from 1 species